CAGAAGUGACACCGGGUCCUUAUGGGUUAAAUAAUGUAAUGCCAUCAAAGUUAUCCCAUUUCUCUGCAAUGAUGACUGCAGAAGUGGAUCUACUUAUUUGGCUUAUGUGUAUUUCAUAUUUAUAAAGUGCACUCCACCUAAUAAUCUGUAUUUUGUACAUAAUUAUGUUUAUACGUUGGUGUUACUAAAAGCUCGUUUGUAAUAAGCUCAAACUCCGUAUUUGUGUGUGUGUUCCAGCCUUCCCUCUGAUCUUCAUCAAACACUUUCACAAGAACUGGUCGGGCCCAGAGACUGUUCAUGAAGCCGAUUCUGACUUUGAGGAUCUCUGUACAACAGAAAAACCCACGAACUCGAACACCAUUUCCAAGACCUUGCCAGAUGCCCAGAAUCCUUCAGAGCGAAGGGAGAAGACUGAAGAGCACUCAGCCACAACAAAAGCAGUCGACGGCUCAUGUACGCCAAAAAAACGGCUGAUGUUAUCGCUGUCUGAUAAAGAGAAGCUUCUGAACUGGGAUGUGGCGGUUACAGCCGAGGAGACGGAGGGGGUGAAGACAGAAGAGCAGCAGGAAAACAAGGUUCAAGCAGAGACAGAAGCAGAUAAGCCUCAGACAGACUCGGGCCAGGACGGAGAACCAGCUCCGAGCCAAACCCCUUCUUCACCCUCCUCAGCCUUCCAGUUGAUAGCCAACGCCUUCCGGAGGACGUUUAGCGUGACCAAUCCCUCCAGCAGCUCCAACGCCGCAGUCAUAAUGAGGCCUAAACCUGCCGGCCCCCACAAACAGAGGCCCAUGUCUGAAGGAGCUUUUUCCUUCAGCUCCCUCUUCAGUUCUGCAGCUCCUGAAUCCUCCAGAGAUGACAAAAAGGCCGCUAAGUGUGAUGCACAUUCUCGGUGGGCG
rnacentral:lncRNA from 1 species